UACAGAGGUCUCGAGCGUUGUUCGGAAUUACUGGGCGUAAAGCGUACGUAGGCGGUUACUCAAGUCAGAGGUGAAAGCCCGGGGCUCAACCCGGGAACUGCGUCCGAUACUGGAAGGCUUGAAUCCGGGAGAGGGAUGCCGGAAUUCCAGGUGUAGCGGUGAAAUGCGUAGAUAUCUGGAGGAACACCGGUGGCGAAGGCGGCAUCCUGGACCGGCAUUGACGCUGAGGCGCGAAAGCCAGGGGAGCAAAGCGGG
rnacentral:rRNA from 1 species